UUGCGAUGUAGCAUGCCCGUUUGGUGCUUAACUCUGAUGUAUUAAUUGUUAUUUAAUUACUUUUGGGCAAUGGGGUGUUACAGA
rnacentral:pre_miRNA from 1 species